GUGCCAGCCGCCGCGGUAAUACGGAGGGUGCAAGCGUUAUCCGGAUUCACUGGGUUUAAAGGGUGCGUAGGUGGGCAGGUAAGUCAGUGGUGAAAUCUUUGGGCUUAACCCGAAAACUGCCAUUGAUACUAUUUGUCUUGAAUAUUGUGGAGGUCAGCGGAAUAUGUCAUGUAGCGGUGAAAUGCUUAGAUAUGACAUAGAACACCAAUUGCGAAGGCAGCUGGCUACACAUAUAUUGACACUGAUGCACGAAAGCGUGGGGAUCAAACAGGAUUAGAAACCCGCGUAGUCC
rnacentral:rRNA from 1 species